rfam:TPA: Bos taurus chromosome 14, whole genome shotgun sequence.
UCCCUGGUGGCUCAGAUAGUAAAGCCUCUGCCUGCAAUGCGGGAGACCCAGGUUCGAUCCCUGGGUCGGGAA